UUCUGGAACUCAAUUAACGGAUCUUGUACAGUAGCACUACUUGUAUUGUUCUCUGCUUGAUAUGUCGCUUUGCUUGUAUUUUUCUCAUUUGUAAGUCGCUUUGGAUAAAAGCCUCCGCUAAAUGAAUAAAUGUAAGUGUAACUGUAAAUUGUGAGACAGAUCUUUAGCUGUGUUUACAGAUUAUCAAAGCAGAACUCAAAGCAAAGUGAAACAAACAACACAAAAUAGCAGGACAGCUUUUUAUAUCUAUCUAUCUAUCUAUCUAUCUAUAGUAUAAUCUUUCUCUGAGUUUAAAAACAGCCAGUGACAGUUUUGCCAAGUUUUUGAUGAUUCAUUUUGCUAAACUAUUUAGUAAGGCACUAUGAGGUGUUUUACCUGUGUCUUUUUUUUCUAUUAAAGUUUAUUUACCUCUGGUGGUGUAAAGGUCAGUAAUGACUAAAGUAACAUAACCCUUGUGUUUGAGGUAAUCUGCUAGCGUGCUGCUAAACCUCAGCAAAGCACCGACCCCGCUUUCCAUGAAGACAUACCGAAAGAGUCAUGGGGGAACCUGGAGCCUAUCCCAGGGAGCAUUGGGCACAAGGCGGGGUACACCCUGGACAGGGUGCCAAUCCAUCGCUGGGCACAAUCACAUACACAUUCAUACACUACGGCCACGCCAAUCAGCCUACCGUGCAUGUCUUUGGACUGGGGGAGGAAACCGGAGUACCCGGAGGAAACCCCCGCAGCACGGGGAGAACAUGCAAACUCCACACACACAGGGCCACGGUGAGAAUCGAACCCCCGACCCUGGAGGCAUGAGUGCGCCCCCUAAAAGGAAGUUUUGUUGUUAAAUGUGUCUUUAAGUGGGUCAGUCACUCGCUGUUGUUCAGACAUGCCAUCAUUUUCCAAUAAAAUAUUUGUCAGACGUUAGUUUUCAUUCUGAAUUGUAAAAGAUUCUCUAAGAUGUGUCGUGAGUGUUGUUUUCUGACCUAGUUGUGAGAAGGUGAGCGACAGUCAUGCAGUCCAACUCCAUGUAGUGCAAUCAUUGCCUUAGGAAGUUCUUGAUCAACUAAAACAAGUGUGGUAGAUUUUGGUUGGAGAAGAAACCUGCAGGAAGGAAGGAAGGAUUGGUGACCACUGAUGUAAUGUAUUGACCAACAAGUGUUUUAUCCUUAAUGAUUUGUGUAUUCAAUAUAAAAAAUACAAUGUGCCAUUGCAGCUUCAAAUCUUGCUGUCUUGUUAUAUCUACAGUGUCUGUGGGUGUUCCCAUUCUACAAUUACAUUUUAUUUAGAUUAUUGUUUUUGAUUGAUUAUUGUGCCUUUACAGUUCCUACGAAGAGUUAAUAUUUAAGGAGGUGUUCAAGUACUACAGCCUUCCUGAGGCGUUAUGAGAUAGUGGAAUUUAUCUUUAUCUUUUCAUCUUUAAUAUCAAUGAGUUAUCAGGUUAUUAUCCACAAUCCCACAGCCAAACAAAUUCCCCCAAAUGUUUUAGAGCAAUUAGAGCCUACUGUACAAACAACUGGCAUAAUUGGAGUCGCUAUCUUUCAUGGGCAGUGUAUGCACUGUACCCUCUGAUUCCUUGAUAAAUAGUCUGCACUUAUAUUGCAGUUCUUCAAAGUGCUUUACACUGAUUCUUAUUAACCCAUUCACACACACUCACACAUCAAUACAAGGCAAUAGCCUGCCAUCGGGAGCAAUUUGGGGUUCAGUGUGGCAUGUGGGGCCAGGAGACAGGGAUCAAACCGCCAACCCUAUGAUUAGUGUACAACCCGCUCUACCACCUGAGCCACAGCCGCCCCACAUCCCUUCUAGUGAUUGCUUGAUGUGUUUAUCAGCCACCCAUCCUGGAGGAUUCCACUACAUCCAGAACCGAUGGUCUGGCUUUCUACUGAAUUUUAAAACUGUUCCUCAUUGGUCUUUUCCAUUUCCUGCCUGGAACAUGUACAGUAUAAAGUACACGAAUCAUAUACUUAACACAAAGCCUUAUUAGAUAACCAUCUUAGAUUACCCACUGAUCAAGUUUGCUCUAAUUUUCCGUGUUCCUGCCAUUGUCUGUGUUUACUGAUCAUGAUUUGGGAUCUGACAGUGUUUUUUGCUGAGCCUAUUUUGUGUAUGACCUAGAUAUGUUCAUGGUUUUUGGAUUUUGGAUAUUUGUGACAUUAAACCUCUUGUAUUUGGAUCCUAA